rnacentral:rRNA from 1 species
AUUGAACGCUGGCGGCAUGCCUUACACAUGCAAGUCGAACGGCAGCGCGAUAUGCGGUCUCGCUUACAGUUGCCGACUGGUGGAUUGUUCAUGGGUACAUCGCAAUCUGCUGUGGCGUGGGGGGUGACGGCGGGAUUCAUACGGCAUUACCCCAUACGGCGUACGCGGGAAAGCAAGAGAUCUUCCGACCUUGCGCGAUCGAAUGUGCCGAUGUCGGAUUAGCUAGUUGGCGGGGUAAAGGCCCACCAAGGCGACGAUCCGUAGCUGGUCUGAGAGGAUGAUCAGCCACACUGGAACUGAGACACGGUCCAGACUCCUACGGGAGGCAGCAGUGGGGAAUAUUGGACAAUGGGCGCAAGCCUGAUCCAGCCAUGCCGCGUGGGUGAAGAAGGCCUUCGGGUUGUAAAGCGCUUUUGUUGGGAAAGAAAAGCAGCAGGUUAAUACCCCGCUGUUCUGACGGUACCCAAAGAAUAAGCACCGGCUAACUUCGUG